rnacentral:rRNA from 1 species
AUACGUAGGGAGCAAGCGUUGUCCGGAAUUACUGGGCGUAAAGGGCGUGUAGGCGGCCGAUCAAGUCAGGUGUGAAAUUUCAGGGCUCAACCCUGAGCGUGCACUUGAAACUGGUUGGCUUGAGUGCAGAAGAGGAAAGUGGAAUUCCCAGUGUAGCGGUGAAAUGCGUAGAUAUUGGGAGGAACACCAGUGGCGAAGGCGACUUUCUGGUCUGUAACUGACGCUGAGGCGCGAAAGCUAGGGGAGCGAACAGGAUUAGAUUCCCUGGUAGUCCUAGCCGUAAACGAUGGGUACUAGGUGUAGGGGGUUUAGACGCCCUCUGUGCCGCAGUUAACACAUUAAGUACCCCGCCUGGGGAGUACGGCCGCAAGGCUGAAACUCAAAUGAAUUGACGGGG